AUGCUUUUUUGCUGAUAAACCAUAAAUCAGUGAGUUAACUCUCUGAUAAACCCCUAAUCAACGUGUUAAUUUUUUUUUGCUGAUAAACCAUAAAUCAGUGAGUUAACUCUCUGAUAAACCCCUAAUCAACGAGUUAAUUUUUUUUUUUUGCUAUCUACUUUUAAUUAUUCAUGGAUGUGGUUAGAUUUUGCUCUGUUUUCUAAUUUUCUACUGGUUAUUUCUAUCAUAUUGCC
rnacentral:lncRNA from 1 species